rnacentral:tRNA from 1 species
AUUUAAAUGGUGUAUUUUAAACACAUAACAUUUUCAUUGUUAAGUAUAUUAAAUAUUUAAAUA